CUGCGAGAAAGCGGGACGUUCGGCUUGUGAGCGGGAACUUCUUGGUCGCGCACAGAAAAAGAACGAUUUUAAAAUGGGUGAUGUUGAGAAGGGCAAGAAGAUUUUUGUUCAGAAGUGUGCCCAGUGCCAUACUGUGGAAAAGGGAGGGAAGCACAAGACUGGGCCAAACCUCCAUGGUCUGUUUGGACGAAAGACAGGUCAGACUGCUGGAUUCUCUUACACAGAUGCCAACAAAAACAAAGGUAUCACCUGGGGAGAGGAGACGCUGAUGGAGUACUUGGAGAAUCCCAAGAAGUACAUCCCUGGAACCAAGAUGAUCUUUGCUGGCAUUAAGAAGAAGGGAGAGAGGGAGGACUUGAUAGCUUAUCUCAAAAAAGCUACCAAUGAGUAAUAGUUGGCCACUGCCUUAUUUAUAAUGAAACAGAAGUGUCUCAUGACUUUUGAUGUGUACCAUAUUUAAAUUGAUCUCAUACACUAGAAUUCAGAUCAUGAAUGGCUGAUGGAAUAAUUCUGUUGGACAGUCCUGAUUUAAAUAAGAUUGGUCUGUGGCUAAAC